ACUAACAACACUCAACUACAGGAAGGGAAGUUCAUUCGAUGUAAGCAUCACCUAUGCCACCUAUUAAACUAACAUUUACCUCAAUCUCAACUGCUUUCCUUGUGAGUGGAAUACAUUGUUUUUGGGAAUAGACGGAAGUAAUAUAUAAAAUAAAGAAUGAAAGGAAGUUUACACAAUCUGAACUUUUUAUGUAAGGAUGUUAUCUAAAGCCAAUGAGGGGUCAUGGUAGGAGCAUCUUCGUCACAGCCCAGGUUAAUGCAAAUUCUACCACACACAAGAUCAAGUCAAUAUCUAUUUGUAUCAUCAUGUCAUCUGAUGGACCUGGCAGCAUCUAGCAAGUGUGUGGACACAUAAAAUGAAGACCUAAGACAACGGAUAGGAUACUCAGUGCAGUACAACACACUGCAGGCAGAUUUGGAAUACCUAACUCCCUAAGAAGAACAGGAACUGAAGACUUCUGUUGGAUUUGAACCCAAAGAAUGCUUGAACUACUGUAGAAGACACGCAUCUGAAAACCACAAAGUGCCAUGAAAUUAAACAUCCUUUAUAGGGGACACUGUCUACUACAAUAAAUAAGUAUUCCAUAAAUUAUUAUUAUAUGUAAUUAAAAUAGAUCACGCUUUAUAAGUUGACUAUGAUGAUUAACUUUUUUUUUAUGUAUUUUGAUAUGUUCAUCAUUGCCAAAGAAAAGAAAUUUCCAAUUUUUAUUUUAUUGUACAUUUCGACAAAUAAAUAAUAAAUUAUACCUAGUAUUAUUUUAUUUACAAUUUAUUCACAAUUCUGUUUUGUUAAAAUGUUCACGGUCACAUGAUAAUCUCUGAACAAAUUAUCCUGUAAUCACCACCUUUUGCCCUUUUACAUGAGAUUUGGCAUUUGCCUUUUACAAAACCCCAUGUAAUCUAUUUUAAGACAAAUUUAUGGCACAGAGUAUGCUGUUAUUAGACAGCAAUCUGACCUAGUUGAAAUCACUGUCACUCCACUGGGAAUAAAUGAUCUAGUUCUAGAAACAAAAGAGGUCUUCAGAAUGUUCUUCUUUCAUGUUUCAUAAUUGAACAAACAUGUUGAAAUUACCACAAUAUCUCAUGCCAAUGAGCAAUCAAAUGUGGUGGCAUGACCUUUGUUUAGAAGCAAACUAGAAAAUAUACUACACAGCGUUGCCUCGUUACAUUAUCAAGAUCUGUGUUUCGGGUCAGGAAGUCCUGAUCUCGCCAUUAGCCGAAUUAACAAAGCACCAUAAAAUGUAAACUUACAAUAAAAUAACUUAUUGGUUUACUUUGUGAAUCUAACGUAAAUAUAUUUUAGUUUCAACAUGGGUAUCUUAGUAUUUAAGAACAAACUUCUGCACCAUGGUAACAAAAAAAAAACCAUCAUUACAACGUGCUAAUUCGAAUAAGGUAGAAGUAUGAAAAUAGCAAUACUUGCCACAGUACAGUAAAUAAUACACUGGUAAAAAAUGGCCCCUAAUCACCAUACUGUACACGAGGGCAUUUUUUUCAACAUAAUAGGGAGGUUUCACACGCGAACUCGUACGGUUAGUGUGACGAAUACAUUAUCAUUUUGACGUCAUACACCGGCUGCUAUCCGCUAAACGUGUGGCGACACGCAUAUCUCGCUCACUACAAGUAAGUGAAAAACGCAUAGGGAAAUUUUGGAUUUCUAGUAGGAUCGUCGUACGUGCCAUUUUUGUGACAUUUGAAGACAACAAAUUACGAUAGGAUGCGUCUCAUUUUGGGGUAUCAAAACGUCGGUGCUUUGACCUAGGUGGCGUCGAGAUUUAUGCAGGCCUAGGCCUACUUGUAGCCAGGCACUUUUGGGUCAUAAACAGUAGGGUCUAUCACAAAAUAACCAACACUUCUGGGCAACAAAGAUAGUAUUUUUCGGCUACAAUUUUCAAUUUCAGUUUCCAAAACCUUACAUACACUAAUAAAGCUUUAAGAAGCAUGAUGAGAGAAGAGAACAGAGUAUAGUAGGCCUAAGCUAAGGCCCUAGGCCAGGAAAAACACAGAAUGCCUACGAACGGAUAGCUAAACAUAUGCAUACACGUAUUCGUUCGCGUGCGAAACCUCUCUAUUGUUACCAUUAAUGCAUAACAUUAUAACAUCAGUUUCAGUGGCAGGAAGUUACCGCACGUCAGUCUGCAUACAGUGGGGAUCCCAGUUUUGCAACUCCUGGGCUCUGUGACAAUGCCAAUUAAAUUAACAGUUGAUCAAAAUGUUUUAUUUAUUACCCCAGGAACAGAUCCAGAAUUUUUCAAACGGGGAGGGGGGUGUGCACAACAGCCUCAGAAUAGGUAAGUGAGUAGCACAUACUUCAUGCUUUGAUUUGCAUUGAAAAUUUUAAAAUUUAAUGCAAAAUGUGGGGGGGGGGGGCACACGUGCAAUCCACUGGAUCCGCCCCUGAACCCAGAGCUGCUUGCAUACCAAAAUAGUAUUAUGAAUAACAUGCUUACAAAACAUAACCUAGAAAUUUACACACCAAACAAGAUCAGAUGUGCAUAUUACUAAUACUAACUAUCCUUAACAAAUAAACAAUUUCACAGUAGGUCAAUCGGAUCAAGGAAGUAAUUGUAAACGGCCAUCCUAACGAAAAUUUUGCCACUUGCCUUCCAUGCUGUGCAAUUAACUGUCAGUUUAUAACAUUAGCAUUCAGGAGAGCCUGGUAAGAGCCUGGGGAAGAGCCUGGGGCUUCCUCCCACCCCCGAUAAAGCCACAUAAGAAUUCCCCUCCUUUAAAUUGGCUAUCGCUUUAACUCGUUGCUACCAGCACUUCAGUUUCCCAUAAUGCACCUAUCCACCCCACGCCCAAAACAAACCAUCAUCCAUGUUACAAUAAUAGCAAAGGUUAGAGAUUCUGAUCUGAAAUAUUAUGCAAACAACUUUUUGAAAACAUUUAAAAUAAAUAUAAUUUUAUUUAUACUACAGUACCACUUAUACAAUUUUAAUGUUUUCUUAACUUUGAUGUUAUGUAAUUUUCAUUUUAUUGUUAGCAUAACCUUUUACAAUUUUAAUUACCUUUUGAAUUUGUUUGUACAGUACAAUCAUUGGGAAAGCCUACUCACUUGUGGACAAUAGCUCAUUAUAUUUUUUAGCAAGUUUAGCACUGUCACUAAUGUACAGUAUUUUGUAAUAUUAAUGUCCAAACUAUGACAGGGGCAGUCAUUCUAUUCCUGUACUUUCGACCAAUCAGAUGCCUGGAUCUAUGUAAAUAUCCUCUAUCUUAUUACUUGGAUACAUAACUCAUCCCUGCAAUGAUUUUGAAAUUAAAGGAUUUUAUAUACAGUAGUGUAUAAUUAUUACUAUAACAUAAAACUAAUACAUGACUUUUUGUUACGAAAACAAAAUUAAUAUUCCAACUUCACAAAGUUAUGAAUAUUAAAGAAAGUAUUUAUCAUUCAUCACAUAUUAAGAAUUAAAUAGGGCUUAAAAUUUAAAUCUUUAACCAUGCCCGAGAUUACCUUAUUUAUUCAAUUACUAUUUUGGAUUAAAACAGGCAAUACAAAUCCCAAAGUGCCCUCAAUCUAUCAUAUUAUACCACAACAAAAUAAUACAUUUGACAAACGUAGCGCAAUUAUUUUGGUUUUUUUUAAUAGAAUAUAUAAUACAAAACAUUAUUUCAAAUACAUUAUUUACACAAAAACCAACAGGAAAGCUGUGUAAAUAUAUGUUGUUAAUGUCUAUGAACUCAAUAUCAAUCACUUUAAUACGGUACUCGAUCAUAGCUUGAAGGGAAAUCAACACACAAAAUCUGCAUGUUAAAAAUGACCAUAUGCAGGCUCAUGCAAUAGACCUUUCUGAAAUGUCAAUCAAACAUAACAAAUGACCAAUCAGAAGAGGACAAGAAUAUGUGGGUGCCACACAAGCAAAUGUGUUGUCUUACAAACGUACGUGUUUACAUAUAUUUUUACAUUGUCAUCUUGUGGGACCUUACUGUAGCAACAGUAUCUACAGUAAUCAAUCAAACUUUAACAAAUGACCAAUCAGAAGAGGCCAAGAAUAUGUGGAUGCCACACAAGCAAAUGUGUUGUCUUACAAACGUACGUGUUUACAUAUAUUAUUACAUUGUCAUCUUGUGGGACCUUACUGUAGCAACAGAAUCUACAGUACAGUAAUCAAAUUUUAACAAAUGACCAAUCAGAAGAGGCCAAGAAUAUAUGCGUGCCACACAAGCAGAUGUGUUUUCUUGCAAACGCAUGUGUUCAUGCAUACAAUAUAUUUUUACAUUGUCGUCUUGAGGUACCUUAGCAACAGUAUCUAGGUAUCUAGGGGAGGGACUUAGCAGAAAGUUCCAUUAGAGGAAAUGGUCAGCGUGUGAAUAAAUUGGCACAGAAUCCAGGAAUAGUGUAGAUUAUAUGGUGAUUCAUAUGUUGGCUUCUAAUCUUCAGGCCUUGUAAUGCUGGAUAGGCUGUGUUAAGGGGAAGGAAGUUGCCUAGUCAGUCACUACAACAUUUCUAAUUUUCAAUGUUAAAGAAAAAUAUCCUUCAAAAAAUAUUUAUAUAAUAUAAAAAUACAAAUUAUCUUUAAAUUAUGAUUUAUUAUUAUUAUUAUUAUUAUUAUUAUUAUUAUUAUUAUUCUAGAAGCAUUACAGCUAAACCUAUUUUUAGUAGUGUGAAAAAUAUAGAUAAAAACAAUUAAUUGUUCACGUGCUAUAGUGGGAUAUUGCAAGUACUGUACUGUAUUACAAAACUACAACUGUUUAAUUAAUUUCUAUUUAUAAAAUAAUGAAUAAUACGGUAUAAUCAUAUUUUACAGUAAUUAAUAAUAUAUAAUAAAAAAUAAUGAUUUAUGAUUAUUUUUAUUGUUUAAAAAACUAUGUGAUUCACUAGAAUAAUCAAUCCUAAUUAUGUCAUCAUUAUAACAAUUUAUUGAUGUUAAACAGAUUAAUUUUAAUUUAAAACUGAUUAAUUCUUUAAAACAGUUUUGAUAGUAAUUUUUCUAAUAUUUGUUUUAUUCCAAAUUUGUACUUUGAAGUGUGAUUCACAAAAUGAUGCUAUACUAAGCUUUAAAAUUCAAAUUUGUUGAAUACAAUUGUUGUUUAAUCUUAUGAUCACUCACGUAUGACUGCUGUUUCAUUUCAAGAGACACAACCUUUGACUUAAAACUACCACUUCGUUUUCUUGCAGGUCGGAAUUGAGUACUUCUUAAAGCACGCUAAAUCCCUGGUGAACUAUACUGUGAUCAAAUACAAUACAGUUGCUGAUAAUCACAACAUUGGGAGAAGCAAAUCCCAUGAUCUCAAUGGAUGGACACACAUUACUAAGCUCUUCAACUUUCAAAACCGAGAAAAAAAGAGAUUUAUUGAGGAAAUUUAUACAGAAAUGGAACAAAACCUAAGAUAUUUCGAAAAAAUGUUGGGAAUUUAGAAUUUUGAGUCUGUAAAGUGAUUGACUGAAGGUCAAUAAAGAGGAAGAGAAAGUAAUUGGUGAUACAGACUGAUAUAACCACAGAUUGAGCCGAAAAAAGCCACUUUGACCUAAGGAUAAACAGGUCUGACAAUGCUAUGCUAAACUGGUUAUCUAGAUAUUGAUCCUAAAUGAAAUACUUAGGUAUAUAGGUAUAAUCACUAACAAUCUUAGUAUUUUCAAACAUGUUUGGUAACUUGCACACUUAGCUUGCAUUUUUUUGUAGGCCACUGCUUUACUUUGGCCACCCAUCUGAGAAUCUUUAUAACGCAGCUUUAAAAAAAAAAAUUUUUUAAAUCAGCACAACGGUUGGUGGCGCUUAUCAAUAUUCUUAUCUUUUCCCCUCAGGUCCAAUGAUAGAAUAGCCUACAUAUAUUGAUAUUCUGGUCACUUGUUUAUGAUCAUUAAUAAUUCUAUAAUUAAUAAUUUUUUUGGAAAGGAGAUGUACUAUAAGUUCUACAUAUAAUUAUAGUUCUUAAAUGCAAGAAUUCCUGAGGGUAUAAUCCAUUCGGAAUUUUGGUUUUGGCAGGGCUGAGCUGUUACCCUUUUAUGUAACUAAAGCCUGUAAAAUAGGCCUACUUACUUCAAUAAGAAAAGCUGAAAGAUGUUGCCUAGACAACUUGAAAAUCUUUGUUUUUCCAUCUACUUUGGCUAUCUUACAACAGAUAGAGACUUCAACUCACAUUAAUAGCGAAUGUGGCUACAAAACGUUUAUUAUCAGGAUAUCUUAACGUACCAUGUCAAUGUAAACGGAAAUUAUAUCCUUGGCGCUGUUACUCAUAAACUGUUAUCCAUAACACCACCACCAUUCAGGUUUUUUCUCUGCUAAUUGCAAUUGGGAAGAGUUAAGUUAUGUCCACACUAUCUCAUAUUAUGUGACAAAUAAAGAAGGUACAGUAUGAUAAGUUUAAAGGUUAAAGUUCGCCCUCACUUUCAUCACAGAAAAACUGUAUAAAAAAAUAAAUAGCCAGUGUUGGCACCACACGGAAUCAAAGAAGGCAAAUUACAGCCUAAACUUGAA